GACGAACGCUGGCGGCGUGCUUAACACAUGCAAGUCGAACGGAAAGGCCCCCAUCUUGGUGGGGGUGCUCGAGUGGCGAACGGGUGAGUAACACGUGGGUGAUCUGCCCUGUACUUCGGGAUAAGCUUGGGAAACUGGGUCUAAUACCGGAUAGGACCAUGGUUUAGUGUCUCAUGGUGGAAAGAUUAUUGUUUUGGUGCAGGAUGAGCUCGCGUCCUAUCAGCUUGUUGGUGGGGUAAUGGCCUACCAAGGCGUCGACGGGUAGCCGGCCUGAGAGGGUGGACGGCCACAUUGGGACUGAGAUACGGCCCAGACUCCUACGGGAGGCAGCAGUGGGGAAUAUUGCACGAUGGGCGCAAGCCUGAUGCAGCGACGCCGCGUGGGGGAUGCCGGCCUUCGGGUUGUAAACUCCUUUCGUUAGGGACGAAGCCGCACUUUUUUUGGGUGUGGUGCCGGUACCUUUGUUAAGAAGCACCGGCUAACUACGUG
rnacentral:rRNA from 1 species